GAGGGUAGAGCUCAGUGGUAGAGCACGUGCUUGGCGUUUGCACGGUCCUGGGUUCAAUCCCCAGUACCUCCA
rnacentral:tRNA from 1 species